AGAUUUAUCGCUUUGAGAGGGGGGUGCUUCCUAUCAGGUAGUUGGUGGGGUAAUAGCCUACCAAGCCUAUGACGGGUAGCCGGUCUGAGAGGAUGUCCGGCCGCAAUGGGACUGAGACACGGCCCAUACUCCUACGGGAGGCAGCAGUGGGGAAUUUUGCGCAAUGGGCGAAAGCCUGACGCAGCAAUCUCGCGUGGAGGAUGACGCAUUACGGUGUGUAAACUCCUUUUCUGGUGGAAGACGACUGACGGUACACCAGGAAUAAGGGACGGCUAACUACGUGCCAGCAGCCGCGGUAAUACGUAGGUCCCAAGUGUUAUCCGGAAUUACUGGGCGUAAAGCGUCUGUAGCCUGACAUAUAAGUCUGUUUUCAAAUACUGUGGCUUAACCAUAGAAAGGGAAUAGAUACUGUGUGUCUGGAGAUUUCUAGGGGUUAGUAGAAUUUCCGGUGGAGCGGUGAAAUGCGUUGAUAUCGGAAGGAAUGACAAAAGCGAAAGCAGCUAACUAUAGAAAAUCUGACGGUCAGAGACGAAAGCUUGGGUAUCAAACGGGAUUAGAUACCCCGGUAGUCCAAGCUGUAAAUUAUGCAUGCUAGGUGUUUUGUUCCGAUUUUCGGGAUGGAGUGCUGUAAUCUAACGAGUUAAGCAUGCCGCCUGGGUAGUAUAUUCGCAAGAAUGAAACUCCAAGGGAUAGGCGGGGGAACACACAAGCAGUGGAUUGUCUCGAUUAAUUGGAUAAUAAGCCAAGAAUCUUACCUAAACUUGACAUGUACUGUGUCCCUAUAUGAAAGUAUAGUAAUUCUGCUUUGCAGAAAUACGGUAUACAGGUGGUGCAUGGUCGUCGUCAGCUCGUGCCGCAAGGUGUCCAAGUUAAGUUCUGGGAACGAGCGCAACCCUCAUCUUUAGUUAGAUGUCUAAAGAGACUGCCUGGGUAACCAGGAGGAAGGAGAGGAUGACGUCAGAUCAUCAUGCCCCUUACGUAGGGCUCAUACAUACAAUGGGUAGUACAACGAGAAGCAUACCGUGAGGUGGAGCAAAUCUUUAAAGCUAUCCUUAGUUCGGAUUGUAGUCUGGAAUUCGACUACAUGAAGUUGGAAUUGCUAGUAAUGGCGGGUCAGCUACACCGCCGUGAAUAUGUCCCUGUUCCUUGCACUCACCGCCCGUCAAACCAUGGGAGUUG
rnacentral:rRNA from 1 species